GAUUACAAAUUGAUGCUCAUGACCUUGAUAAUUUACUUGGAAAUGUGGCACUCAAACUCACAGCUGAAGAACUUAAUGCUCUAACCCCAAAUCUAUCAAUUCAUGGAGAAGAGAUUGAUGUUAGUGAUGUGAAAACUGUCCUGGACAAUAUGGGAAUAGAGCAAACACAUAAAGGAAGCCUGGAGCCAAUGAACAUUUUGCCAGUUGAUGGAGGAAUUAUUGAUGUUAGUAAACUGGACACUAUUUUGCAAAACAUGGAGAUGAAACUCACAGAAACUGAAGUUAGUGAUCUUAAGCAAAACAUGCCAAUUGAUGAAGGGAUUAGUGAUAUCAAUGAAGUGGAUAUUCUUUUGAAAAGGAUGAGGAUGAAUCUUGCUGAAAAGGAAACUAGUGAUCUGAUACAUAAUCUGCCAGUUGAUGGACUUGUUGAUGUCACUGAACUGGGCAGUGUUUUGCAAAACAUGGGAAUGAAACUCUCAGAAAUGGAAAGUAAAGAUUUAAUAGAGAAACUACCUGUUGAUGUUAAUGAGAAGAUUAAAACAACAAAGUUGAUGGAUGCAAUGAAAGCUUUUACUGGUGAGUGA
rnacentral:lncRNA from 1 species